GACGAACGCUGGCGGCGUGCUUAACACAUGCAAGUCGAACGAAGUGGCGAACGGGUGAGUAACGAGUAAUCAACCUGCCCUUCAGAGGGGGACAACAGUUGGAAACGACUGCUAAUACCGCAUACUGAGGGAGGGGAUUGCGUGGGAUUAGGUGGUUGGAUGGGUAACGUCCCACACAGGCGAUGAUCAGUAGCCGGUCGGGGGUGGUUAACGGGCACAUUGGGAAUGAGAAAAGGCCCAGAACCCGACGGGAGGCAGCAGUGGGGAAUCUUCCGCAAUGGACGAAAGUCUGACGGAGCAACGCCGCGGGAGUGAUGACGGCCUUCGGGUUGUAAAGCUCUGUUAAUCGGGACGCGGUACCGGAAUAGAAAGCCACGGCUAACUACGUGCCAGCCGCCGCGGUAAUUC
rnacentral:rRNA from 1 species